CUUGUUGGAGUUGAGAUGUAUAAAGAGGCGCAUAAGAUCUCAUUUAUCAUAAAUGCAAGGAGGAAUUACUAGAUAAGCGCAUGAAAAUUUACCAGCAGCUGUUACCUUUGGCGAAAUUAGGGGGCAUGUGUGAAGACGGAGGAGACAGUUGCGUCGGACUUCCUUAUCGGCGCACAUUCAAUGUAGAGUAAAUCUAUUUUUUCGCAGACCUGUAACGACGCACAAGACUGGUACAACGGAUCAGUCUCUGACGGUCAGCAGUUUGUGAUGAUGGGCCAGCUGACGUCGGAGGACCAGAUCUUGACGACCUACGAAAGCUUGCAUACCAUUGAGUAUAAGUACUGCAGCAUCAGGCGCGUCCACAGUGACAUCGGCAUGGCACUGUUCGAUAUAGAAUGCGAAGACUGGGAGAGCCAGUGCAAUAAGCGACCGUCCCAGGUCAACCUCACGGGCACCGCCAGAAUCGUGGGAUCGGCCAACUACACGCGCUGGUUGGCGACCGUCGACAUUUUAAACAAGAACGACUGCCCGUGACGUCGGCCAUAGCCCGGGAUCAACACUGGCCCAAGAACAAGACAUCGAGCGUACAUUGUGAAGAACUUUGCGUUUUGUUUUCCUUUAUUCUUUCCUAUCCCUUUCCCACCACAAAGCAAGCAACCCGAAUCUGUUGGUGUAUAUGUCAUUAAGUAGGAGGUACGCCGUCAAAACACAUCCCGUUGUGUAUUCGCCGCACGCCUGUAAAGCGUUCUCACGGCAAAAAAAAAAAAAAAAAAAAAGAACGUGUAUGUGCAAGUCCAGAUCGCGCAAAGAGUAAUUAUCUUCGUAAAGUGAACGCUUAUUGUUUGUUUGCACCCUUCUCUUCCCUACACAUUAGUGUUUAAUUGCGCAUUUAAUGGCGCAAGCUCGUGCUUCUUGUGUUCGCGUCGCACAAAACUGUGAAGCCAUGGUCAAACGUGCCUGGGAAUUUCCUCACUCUUCAAUGGAUGUUUAUUGCUUUGUUGAUUACGAUAGUGUCAACUAUAUUUCGAGCCACUAACACAGACGCCAUCACGUCAUUCUGUUAUGCACAUACUGAAGUGCUAAAGAACGCUGAGGAACAUUGCAACAGCGUGCUCGGCUUGCUGUAUCGUGCUGCUUGUGCUGGACUGUUCGCUGUGCGCCAAUUGACUGCAACCUUCGUGCUUCGUUAUCUCAAGUAUUAGUUGUUAUACGAUGGCGGAUUGAAUUGUGCAAUAAUAUGUUUAGCUGACUCUA